rnacentral:lncRNA from 1 species
GGGAGUGGGGAAGGCCAGGGCCAGAUUCUGCAGCGCUUCCCAGAGAAGGACUGGGAGGACAACCCAUUCCCCCAGGGCAUCGAGCUGUUUUGCCAGCCCAGCGGGUGGCAGCUGUGUCCCGAGAGGAAUCCACCGACCUUCUUUGUUGCUGUCCUCACCGACAUCAACUCCGAGCGCCACUACUGCGCCUGCUUGACCUUCUGGGAGCCAGCGGAGCCUUCACAGGAAACGACGCGCGUGGAGGAUGCCACAGAGAGGGAGGAAGAGGGGGAUGAGGGAGGCCAGACCCACCUGUCUCCCACAGCACCUGCCCCAUCUGCCCAGCUGUUUGCACCGAAGACGCUGGUACUGGUGUCGCGACUCGACCACACGGAGGUGUUCAGGAACAGCCUUGGCCUCAUCUAUGCCAUCCACGUGGAGGGCCUGAAUGUGUGCCUGGAGAACGUGAUUGGGAACCUGCUGACGUGCACUGUGCCCCUGGCUGGGGGCUCGCAGGCAUCACCAACGUGCUGUCUUUGUUCUGUGCCGCCCUCACGGAGCACAAGGUUCUCUUCCUGUCCCGGAGCUACCAGCGGCUCGCCGAUGCCUGUAGGGGCCUCCUGGCACUGCUGUUUCCUCUCAGAUACAGCUUCACCUAUGUGCCCAUCCUGCCGGCUCAGCUGCUGGAGGUCCUCAGCACACCCACGCCCUU